UCCUUUUCAAACUUUUUAUGCUUAUUAUCAACUUAAUUGUUAAGAGGUAUGUAAAAUUUGAGUUAAAAUCAAUAGUUCAUUCAUUAGUUAUUGAGUUUUAAAUGUGCAAUAGGAAUUACUUGGGAUUGAUUUGGGUUUGAUAAGAGUUAGGAUUAGGAUUUUGGGUUUGAUUUACAGUUUGGUUAGGAUUUAGGAUUUGAUUUAAGAUUUGAUUAAGUUAGGAUUUUUUUAAGAUUUGGUUAGAAAUUAGGAUUUGAUUUAGGGUUUUAUUUGAUUAGGAUUUUUUUAGAGUUUGAUUAGGAUUUGAUUAAAAUUUGAAUAGAAUUUGUCUAGGAUUUGUCUAGGACUUUCUUAAGAUUUGUUUAAGAUUUGAUUGGGAUUUGUUUAAAAUUUGGUUAGGAUUUGUUUAGAGUUUGAUUAGGAUUUGAUAAGGAUUUGAGUAGGAUUUGUUUAAGAUUUGUUUAGGACUUAUUUAGGAUUUAUUUAGGAUUUGACUAGAAUUUAUCUAAGAUUUUUUUAGAACUUGUUUAGGAUUUGUCUAGAAUUUGACUACAAUUUGUUUAGAAUUUUAUUAGGAUUUAUUUAGGAUUUUAUUAGGAUUUGAUUAGGAUUUGACUAAGAUUUGAUAAAUUUUAUUUAAGACUUGAUUAGGACUUAUUUAAGGUUUAAUUAAGAUUUAUUUAGGAUUUGAUUAGGCUUUUAUUAGGAUUUUGUGAGUUAUCAAAUUGACUCAUUAGUUGUUUUAAGUUAAACAAAUACAUGUAGAAUGUAAAAAUUAUAAUUUUUAGGUGAAGAUGUGCUUAGAAGAGGUUAAAGGAAGAAGAAUAGUAUUAGUGGAAAAGAAAUCGAGUCUUAGUAAGUCUAGGAGGCAAUUAUUUUAGUUGGUUUAGUAUUUUUACUUAUUAUUAAGUAAUAAGGAUUAGUUACUAAGAUCUAUAUAUAUAUAUAUAUAUAUUGAUCUUACAUCUAUAUGUAUUACUUAUUAAAAAACUAUAAAUGUUAGUUAGUAGUUAGAAAAAAAAAAACCUCUUGUCUUUUUAAUUAUUUAUACAUAAAGUAGGAUUUAUAGUGGAUUUAAAUUGAUUUUAUUACUAUAAAAAAUCAUCAAGAUAGGAAAUUUUAGCCUUAAAUGGAUAUUAG
rnacentral:lncRNA from 1 species